GAACAUAAAACAAUAUACAAAUUUCACUGUAACAGUGGGGGUUUAAAGCAUAGCUAUUCUAUUUGCCUUUCCUGGAAUAUCAAGCCACAAUGCAUUAAGCAGCCCAGGGAAAGUUAUGUGGUUGCACUACACUAUAAGCUCACACUAUAUUUUGCCAGAUGUACAGCAGCCAGUUUUUGAACAAGUGUAUUUCACUGUGGGCUACAGCUGAUAAACUUACUAUUGGGAGAGGAACAUUCCUAGAGAUUCUGCCAAGCAAUAAAAAUCCCUCUUCACCCUCAGUGUUUGUGCUGAAGUCUGAUGAAACCAAUUCUCCUACAGCCUGUUUUGUGAAGGAUUUUUACCCUAAGAACGUUGAGAUCUACAUGAAUUCCUCUAAAAGCAGCUCUGGGCCAGCGAAAGUCUCCCCAGUUCUGACGCGGCAGGGAAAGUACAGUGCCAUCUUAGUGGCUAACCUGGGAACCAAGAAUGUGCAGUGUCAAGCAAAGCACCAGAACAUAUGGUUGACAACUCAGGAUAAUACUUUAGGAUCAAGAGAAAUUACUACUACAUCUGAAGGUGAAGAUAGGUCAGAAGAAAUGGAAUGUGACAAAUUUGAAAAACUGAAUAUGCUUUCCUUGACUGUCCUGGGAGCUAGAGUGCUAUUUUCUAAAGCUGUAGCCUUCAGUCUCAUAAUGACAGCCAAGUUAUUCAUGCUGUGAGAUGUCCCGAAGCCAAUGAACUGCAAAUGGAUUUUUCUUCAUCAAUGCAAUGGCAACCAUACUAUACACAUAUUGAAUAAUGAUCAAUUAUGAUAAUAGUUAUGAUCUGUCCUUUAAAAGUGACUGUAUGACAAAACAAAGAUUCGCCUAUCAUUUACUGUGUUAACUAUGCAUUAGAGCUCACCUCUAGGCAGCAGUUCUGAAUAACUCCAAUGCUCCCUUUCCCCCUCUAUACUAUCACCCAGUGCUUUUUUUUUCUUAUCUUGCCCCUGGAUUUAGUUAUUCUCUCUUCUUGGCCCCUAUGAUGUCAUCGCAGGGGCUGAAAAAAUCCUGCAGCCUCAGGAGCUUUCAGAAAGGUUUGGGUUAGCAGAUGGCUGGGAUUUCACCUGCUUAGCCAGUAAAUCAACUGCACAUUGUAAGGCUGAUAAGAAAAAAAUAUUGGCACAAUAUAAGAAAAUCACCCCAAACAGACAUAUCAUACACAUGUGACACAGAGGGGCUUGACAGGGUGGCUGGUACUGUACACGUGGUGGCUUCUUUUGGAUUUUUUUUUUAAGUUUUUUUUUUGUCACGUACGAAAAAGUAUACAUUGAACACAUGAAAGUUGAUAUAGUUAUACAUACGUUUCAAGUAUACCAGAACUAAUUACUCUGAGGACAGAAGUAAGAGCGGGAAUCAUCUACAUUUCUCAUAUUUUCUUGUUCGCAUUUGAUCGUAAAUGAAUAUAUAUAUAUAUAUAUAUAUAUAUAUAUAUAUAUA